rnacentral:rRNA from 1 species
CCCUUAGAUGUCCUGGGCCGCACGCGCGCUACACUGAUGCAUUCAACGAGUAUUUCCUUGGCCGAGAGGCCUGGGCAAUCUUUUAAACCUGCAUCGUGAUAGGGAUAGAUUAUUGCAAUUAUUAAUCUUGAACGAGGAAUUCCUAGUAAACGCAAAUCAUCAAUUUGCAUUGAUUACGUCCCUGCCCUUUGUACACACCGCCCGUCGCACCUACCGAUUGAAUGGUCCGGUGAAAUCUCGGGAUUGUGGUCAGUUCACUUUAUUGGGAGUUGGCUGCGAGAACUUGCUUAAACCUUAUCAUUUAGAGGAAGGUGAAGUCGUAACA